GCUCCUCCCCACAGUUACUGGGCAACAGCCAGAACCACCAAGGUACUAGAGAACUUUAUGAAAAAACAGUGAUGACUACAGAACAAUUACUAACAGCCCCAGUGCUCUUUUCUACUGGAAAAUCCCAGCAUGCAGCUAUACAGCACCUCUGCUGGACUUCUUACCGCCUACAGUGAAUAGUAUCAGAGCACUUGAAUACUCACAGUUCUGUGUAAACCUCAGAUUGUAACACAGCUAGGACACAUCCAGGAUCUUCCAGGAUUACACUGUAGCUGUCUUCAGACACUCCAGAAGAGGGAAUCAGAUUUCAUUACGAGAUGGUUGUGAGCCACCAUGUGGAUGCUGGGAAUUGAACUCAAGACCUUCGGAAGACAGGUUUUGUCUGGAGGCCAACAGGGAGAAAGCAGAUGCCCAUUUUGUCACUUGGCCAGGUGACAACAAAGGAUGCUCCUGACCCCUACCAGAACUUGGAGAACUUUCGAGUUCUCAUCAGGAUGCUGAACUGGCUGUGGGUAUAUGGGCCUCCCAUGAACAGGGAGGAUGGCAGUCUUAGACAGCCUUUAGGUUUGUUCCCUGCCUGCCACUCCUCACCCCCCAAGGGAAGUUCUGUGUCUGUGUGUAUCCUUUUUGUGCUUUUUGUCUUCUCUUAUAUCUUUUCUAUGAUUCCUAGGAUGGGACAGGCACAAAGCACUCCCUACUGGGCUUGGUCCUGAACCAUUUUAAGGACUUUUGUAGAUUCACAGAAGACUCCCAGCUGAUAAUUUGUUCUAGCAAACUAAUUUUUUUUAAAGGAAUGAAUGGCCCACCUAUAAAGUAGGAUGGCCUGAGGGGGGUUGACUUUAAAUUUUCUCAUCAGUUACAGGGCAAAGAUUUAGUUUAUGAGGCCUGGGGCCUCCCAGACCAAGUGCUAUGGACCUCCCCACUCCCUAGCCUUCCAAUAAAGGAAGGUCAGUCUUGGCCCCCUUUCUGCUCCUGAAGAGGAUCUAUGUACACCUCCUUAUGUUUCUGCUCCAGCAGCCACUGCCCCUAACCAGCCAGUACAGGCAGAGGGAGGAACAGACCCUGACUCCUCUUGAUUCCACUUGCAGUUUACCACAAUUGAACUCUGGCCCAUACUGCCCAGAAGGCCAACUCUACUAAGUCAUUACUCCUGUGGGCUAAAGGGAUGCCCAGAUGCUCAGAAAAGACAAUUCAUGACAUAUGUGCCAUUUGCCAGUAAAAAUCCUUACAAUUGGAAUUUGCAGAAGUCCCCACUUUUAGAAAGACUAUCAGUUCUCACAGGUCUAGAUUCAAUUAUGCUGACUCACCAGCUCACAUGAAAUGAUUGUUGAAAACUAUUCCAGACCCUCUGCAUGACAGAGGAGAGAGAGAGAGAAUCAUGGGAGCUGCUCAGAAAUUGGAUCUGGGAGCAAAUGGACUGCUCACUGGUAUCCAGUCUGACUUCUAUGCAGUUUUUCCUUUGACUCAACCCGAUGGGGAUUUUAACACUGGUGAAGGUAAAGAAAUGCUCCAAGUCUACUGCCAGAUUCUGAUUGGGAUGCCACCAAGAGGCCACAAGAGAGAACACAAAUUUAUCUAAGGUAAGCCAGAUGAUGCAAAGAAACAGAGAGCCUCAGGGAACAUCUAGAAAGACUUUUAGCAGCCUAUUGAAAUACACUCCUUUUGACCCAGAAGCCAGAGAGCACCAGUUCACAGUGAAUAUGACUUUUAUUAACUAAGCUGCCCCUGACACCCAUUGAGAGCUUCAGCCACUGAACAGCUUUGCAGCAUGUCUCUGGCACUCAGAAGCCAGCCCCUAUUUGCCUUUGAAUGGCAAGACUUGGAGAAAGGAUUCAAAAGACAACUGACUUAGACAUCAAGGAUUCAAGAACUCAAGAUACUCUAUGAGGACUUGGGUGAGUAUUGAUUGGUCCACCUCCAAAUAAUUUUGUUCCAGUAUGUAUUGUGUUCCCCCAACUUGGGACAUGCCAGAAGGCCACAUGAGACCUACUCUAGGAGCUUAGUCAAUUUGGCUAGAGAGUAUCUGCUAAGAAAGCUGAGUGUUGUCAAUUUGAGGUCAGAGAUUCUGGCUGAAGUCUAAAGAGAUUCUGACACAAGGCCCUCGGUGUUACAUAUCACGUACAUCCCACAGUCACAGCUGUUCUGUUGAUCUGGGGCUUUCUCUUACACAAAGACCAGUUUGUCUCCUUUGCUCCUUAAGAAAGCCUCCAUUUUCUCUGCUACCUGCUUUGAACGGAUUGAGUUGCUCCUGCUAUGGGAAUCCUAAUGGAAGAAGCUAUUUUUAUCUUGGUGAUAAACCAAUAAACUCCAGUGGGUACCUCCAGCUGCCUGGUUAGAAUUAUCAUUGAUGGCUAAAAAUACCACUCUUUUGUGGGGAAGAUCCAGAGGUUCAAAGAACAUGGCAAUUUCUGCAGGAUUGCUGGUGCACUUAAUGAACUGGGUGACUUCAGGGCUGAUGAAGGUACAUAUUGGGGUACAUAUUCAAGGGGGCCUGCCAAGACAUGCUGUCAGAUGCCCCGGAAGCAAACCAUCCUUAGCCUCCCAGUUCCAUCAACCCAAAGGCAAGUAUGGAAAUUUCUGGGGUCUGCUGGGUUUUAUAGACUUUGGGUGCUAGGGUUCACUGAGAUAGCCAAACCAUUAUAUGAGACCACCAUGGGCGAAGAAGAGAAUAGACCCUUGAGAUACACACGGCUUUUAAGACUCUAGGAAAGCCUUAUUGGAGGCAUGGGCCUUUGCCUUCCUGAACAUUCACAAACGUUUCCACCUGUAUGUGAGAGAAAGGGCAAAGAGAAUGGUCACCCAAACUUUGAGACUUUGGAAAAGACCUGCGGCUUAUUUAUCUAAAAAGCUGGACCCAGUGGCCCAAAGAUGGCCAGCCUGCAUCUGAAUCAGAAUUGCCACUAUCCUGCUAAUCAAGAAUGCAGACAACAUAACAAUGGGGCAGGAACUUGUUAUCACCAUCCCCAGUGCUAUUGAGAGGACCCUCAAGAAUCAACCCAUCCAGUGGCUUUCCAAUGCUAAACUGGUACACUUUUGGGUUCUAUUUUUGAAUUUCUCUCACUUAGGAUACAACCCAUUAUCUGCCCCAAUCCCAGUCAUCCUGCUACCAGACAGAGCCUCAGAUGUGCAGCAUGACUGCUCCAUAUUUCUGGCGCACAUUCAGAACACCAUGCCUGAUUUGACUGAAAUAUCCUGGCCAGAUGUGGAACCUAUCUUCUUCAAGGAUGGGAGAAGCUUCAUCUAGAAUGGAAUCAGGGCUGGAAACACAUUCUAUGCUUUAGGUACCCCCUUUAUUUUGAGAUCCUCUAUGGGAGAAUAUCAUAUUGUCUGAACUCUAGUCUGACAUCUUAGGUAACAAUGUCUGGAUUAAGAGACAUAAUCACAAGACUCUGGAACCUCCCUAAAAAGGACCUCACACCAUGAUCAUGACCACACCAAUAGCUGUUAAAGUGGAUGUGGUCAGUACAUGGAUAUAACACUCUCACGUUAAGCCUGCGAGGAGACAGAAGAUGUAUUGUGAAAUAUUAAAAAAUACAUUCCAUACUAUCUCUGGCAAGUUACUGGUCGGCCUUGUUCUUAUCUCAUGAAGACUCUUUCACCCAGAGCUGCAAAAUCUCUCCACCCAGGCCGGUUCUCUCUGUGACACAGGAAUGGCUGGAGCUCCUAGUGUAUGGACCUCAGAAACAUCUCAAGGAUUUAAAAAACCCCAUCACUGAAAGGAGGGAUGAGAAGGCCAGGCUGACUCCAUGACAGACUUCAAUUUCGCAGUUAAGGAGACUAGGCCUAAGAAAUGGGCAAGUCCAGGCAAUUCACUUACUAAUAGAAACAAAACCCCAGGCUUCAGCCUCAUACACCAUGGUAUUUCCAGAAUUCCUAGAGAUAUAAUAAGAUAAAGCUCAU